rnacentral:rRNA from 1 species
GACGAACGCUGGCGGCGUGCCUAACACAUGCAAGUCAACUUGACUGAAGGAGCAAUCUGACAGUAGAGUGGCGCAAGGGUGCGUAACGCGUAAGUAACUUGCCCAAGGUAAGGAAUAACGUCGAGAAAUCGGCGCUAAUACCUCAUAAUGCAGCGGAUCCGCAUGGAUAUGUUGUUAAAGGUUUACCGCCUUGGGAUAGGCUUGCGUCUGAUUAGUUAGUUGGUGUGGUAACGGCACACCAAGGCUACGAUCAGUAACUGGUCUGAGAGGAUGAUCAGUCACACUGGAACUGAGACACGGUCCAGACUCCUACGGGAGGCAGCAGUGAGGAAUAUUGGGCAAUGCUCGAAAGAGUGACCCAGCAACGCCGCGUGGAGGAUGAAGGUAUUCUAUAUCGUAAACUCCUGUGAGAGCAGACGAAAGACAGAUUAUUAAUCUGGAUGACUGUAUGCUCAGAGGAAGCCCC